GAUGAACGCUGGCGGCGUGCCUAAUACAUGCAAGUCGAGCGAACAGACCAGGGGUUUGCUCCUCUGACGUUAGCGCCGGACGGGUGAGUAACACGUGGAUAACCUACCUAAAGGACUGGGAUAAUUUCGGGAAACGGGACCUAAUACGGGAAAAUUUAUUGACCCGCAUGGUUCCAUAGUCAAAGACGGUUUUGCUGUAACUUAAUGGUGGAUCCGAGCCGCAUUCGGUAGUUGGUAAGGUAACGGCUUACCAAGGCAACGGUGGGAAACCGACCUGAAAGGGAGGUCGGCCACACUGGCACUGAGGCACGGUCCAGACUCCUACGGUGGGACGCAGUCGGAAAUCUUCCGCAAAGGACGAGAGCCUGACGGAGCGCCACGGCGUAAGGGAUGAAGGUCUUCGGAUCGUAGAACUCUGUUAUUAGGGAAAAACAAAUAUGUUUGUAACUAUGCACGUAUUGACGGUACCUAGACAGGAAGCCACGGCUAACUACGUG
rnacentral:rRNA from 1 species